rnacentral:rRNA from 1 species
AGAGUUUGAUCCUGGCUCAGGAUGAACGCUAGCUACAGGCUUAACACAUGCAAGUCGAGGGGAAACGAUAGAGAAAGCUUGCUUUUUCUAGGCGUCGACCGGCGCACGGGUGAGUAACGCGUAUCCAACCUGCCCACCACUUGGGGAUAACCUUGCGAAAGUAAGACUAAUACCCAAUGAUAUCUCAAGAAGACAUCUGAAUGAGAUUAAAGAUUUAUCGGUGAUGGAUGGGGAUGCGUCUGAAUAGCUUGUUGGCGGGGUAACGGCCCACCAAGGCGAAGAUCAGUAGGGGUUCUGAAAAGAAGGUCCCCCACAUUGGAACUGAGACACGGUCCAAACUCCUUCGGGAGGCAGCAGUGAAGAAUAUUGGUCAAUGGGGCGAGAGCCUGAACCCGCCAAGUAGCGUGCAGGAUGACGGCCCUAUGGGUUUGUAAACUGCUUUUUAUAAAGGAAUAAAAGUGAGUCUCGUGAGGACUUUUUUGCAUGUACCUUAUGAAUAAAGACCGGCUAAUUCCGUGCCAGCAGCCGCGGUAAUACGGAAGGUCCGGGCGUUAUCCGGAUUUAUUGGGUUUAAAGGGAGCGUAGGCCGGAGAUUAAGCGUGUUGUGAAAUGUAGAUGCUCAACAUCUGCACUGCAGCGCGAACUGGUUUCCUUGAGUACGCACAAAGUGGGCGGAAUUCGUGGUGUAGCGGUGAAAUGCUUAGAUAUCACGAAGAACUCCGAUUGCGAAGGCAGCUCACUGGAGCGCAACUGACGCUGAAGCUCGAAAGUGCGGGUAUCGAACAGGAUUAGAUACCCUGGUAGUCCGCACGGUAAACGAUGGAUGCCCGCUGUUGGUCUGAAUAGGUCAGCGGCCAAGCGAAAGCAUUAAGCAUCCCACCUGGGGAGUACGCCGGCAACGGUGAAACUCAAAUGAAUUGACGG